GAUGAACGCUGGCGGCGUGCCUAAUGCAUGCAAGUCGAGCGAACAGACGAGGAGCUUGCUCCUCUGACGUUAGCGGCGGACGGGUGAGUAACACGUGGAUAACCUACCUAUAAGACUGGGAUAACUUCGGGAAACCGGAGCUAAUACCGGAUAAUAUAUUGAACCGCAUGGUUCAAUAGUGAAAGACGGUUUUGCUGUCACUUAUAGAUGGAUCCGCGCCGCAUUAGCUAGUUGGUAAGGUAACGGCUUACCAAGGCAACGAUGCGUAGCCGACCUGAGAGGGUGAUCGGCCACACUGGAAUUGAGACACGGUCCAGACUCCUACGGGAGGCAGCAGUAGGGAAUCUUCCGCAAUGGGCGAAAGCUUGACGGAGCAACGCCGCGUGAGUGAUGAAGGUCUUCGGAUCGUAAAACUCUGUUAUUAGGGAAGAACAAAUGUGUAAGUAACUAUGCACGUCUUGACGGUACCUAAUCAGAAAGCCACGGCUAACUACGUG
rnacentral:rRNA from 1 species